AGAGUUUGAUCAUGGCUCAGGAUGAACGCUGGCGGCGUGCCUAAUACAUGCAAGUCGAGCGAACAGACGAGGAGCUUGCUCCUCUGACGUUAGCGGCGGACGGGUGAGUAACACGUGGAUAACCUACCUAUAAGACUGGGAUAACUUCGGGAAACCGGAGCUAAUACCGGAUAAUAUAUUGAACCGCAUGGUUCAAUAGUGAAAGACGGUUUUGCUGUCACUUAUAGAUGGAUCCGCGCCGCAUUAGCUAGUUGGUAAGGUAACGGCUUACCAAGGCAACGAUGCGUAGCCGACCUGAGAGGGUGAUCGGCCACACUGGAACUGAGACACGGUCCAGACUCCUACGGGAGGCAGCAGUAGGGAAUCUUCCGCAAUGGGCGAAAGCUUGACGGAGCAACGCCGCGUGAGUGAUGAAGGUCUUCGGAUCGUAAAACUCUGUUAUUAGGGAAGAACAAAUGUGUAAGUAACUAUGCACGUCUUGACGGUACCUAAUCAGAAAGCCACGGCUAACUACGUGCCAGCAGCCGCGGUAAUACGUAGGUGGCAAGCGUUAUCCGGAAUUAUUGGGCGUAAAGCGCGCGUAGGCGGUUUUUUAAGUCUGAUGUGAAAGCCCACGGCUCAACCGUGGAGGGUCAUUGGAAACUGGAAAACUUGAGUGCAGAAGAGGAAAGUGGAAUUCCAUGUGUAGCGGUGAAAUGCGCAGAGAUAUGGAGGAACACCAGUGGCGAAGGCGACUUUCUGGUCUGUAACUGACGCUGAUGUGCGAAAGCGUGGGGAUCAAACAGGAUUAGAUACCCUGGUAGUCCACGCCGUAAACGAUGAGUGCUAAGUGUUAGGGGGUUUCCGCCCCUUAGUGCUGCAGCUAACGCAUUAAGCACUCCGCCUGGGGAGUACGACCGCAAGGUUGAAACUCAAAGGAAUUGACGGGGGCCCGCACAAG
rnacentral:rRNA from 1 species